GAUGAACGCUGGCGGCGUGCCUAAUACAUGCAAGUCGAGCGAACGGACGAGAAGCUUGCUUUUCUGAUGUUAGCGGCGGACGGGUGAGUAACACGUGGAUAACCUACCUAUAAGACUGGGAUAACUUCGGGAAACCGGAGCUAAUACCGGAUAAUAUUUUGAACCGCAUGGUUCAAAAGUGAAAGACGGUCUUGCUGUCACUUAUAGAUGGAUCCGCGCUGCAUUAGCUAGUUGGUAAGGUAACGGCUUACCAAGGCAACGAUGCAUAGCCGACCUGAGAGGGGGAUCGGCCACCCUGGAACUGAAACACGGCCCAGACUCAUACGGGAGGCAGCAGUAGGGAAUCUUCGGCAAUGGGGGAAAGCAUGAGGGAGAAACGCCGGGGGGGUGAUGAAGGUUUGGGGAACGUAAAACUUUGUUAUGAGGGAAAAAAAAAUGGGAAAGAAACUGGGAACAUCUGGAGGGUACCUAAUCAGAAAGCCACGGCUAAUUACGG
rnacentral:rRNA from 1 species